UACGUAGGGUGCAAGCGUUAAUCGGAAUUACUGGGCGUAAAGCGUGCGCAGGCGGUUAUGUAAGACAGAUGUGAAAUCCCCGGGCUCAACCUGGGACCUGCAUUUGUGACUGCAUAGCUGGAGUACGGUAGAGGGGGAUGGAAUUCCGCGUGUAGCAGUGAAAUGCGUAGAUAUGCGGAGGAACACCGAUGGCGAAGGCAAUCCCCUGGACCUGUACUGACGCUCAUGCACGAAAGCGUGGGGAGCAAACAGG
rnacentral:rRNA from 1 species